UUUAAGCAGUCUGCCAACAAAGCCAUAAUCUCCAACAUUGCUGCACAUUCUACAUACACAGUCAAAGGUUUUAAUAUUUGGAUUUGAUGUUUUAUGGGGUGAUGAUACCAAAUUAAAUUUGAUUAUUUUUCUAGAACAACUCAUCCUGAAGUGUCUCUAAACCUGAAAUGAAUCAACACCUCAAAAUUGAGGAUUCAGUGCAGCACUAUGAAGUCAUUAAGUUGUACUUCACCUGGUAAUUUGUUUAUACUGUGAAGAACCAGGUUUAUUAAAUACAAAAUAUCCCAAGUAGGCACAAACAGAAAUAACAACUGUGUGAGUCUUUAUAUUAUUGAAAAUACUAGCUGGUAAAAAAAAAAAAAACUUUUCUAUUAUUAAAAAGCCACAUAUCGUCCAUAAAAUGAAUCUCAUCCCCAUGACUUAAAUAUGUUUUAUAUAUGUUCUCCUCCCAUCAUCACCAGAUAUGCAAAUACAUGUGUCAGGUCUGGAUAUCACUCUAUUUAUGAGAUGUGAUGGACUCUGUUAAACUUUGGAGAACAGAGAAGACCCCAGUACAAACACACACCAUGUUCUCUACAUCUCUACUGCUCCUGCUGGCAGCUACUUCCUAUGUGUAUGGUGUUGAACUGACUCAGCCUGCUUCCAUGACAGUCCAGCCAGGCCAGAGUCUCUCCAUCAACUGCAAGGUUUCAUAUUCAGUUACCAGCGACCAUACAGCUUGGAUCCGACAACCUGCAGGAAAAGCUCUGGAGUGGAUUGGAAACAUCUAUAGCAGUGGGGGUACAGCUUACAGUGACAAACUGAAAAAUAAGUUCAGCAUCUCCAGAGACACUGCUACUAACACAAUAACAAUUAGAGGACAGAAUGUGCAAACUGAAGACACAGCUGUGUAUUACUGCGCAAGAUACACAGUGACACAGGAUAGUGGAUUCCCUUUCCAAAAACUUUAAAACAUGUUAGAGACAUCAUCUCAAUGUUACUAAUAAACCAUCUCAGUCAAACUUUUACUUUCUUCCAC